UUAAUUUUGUAUUAGGCGUUAGAAACAAAUGGACCGAUCGUACUGCGUAGAUAAGCAAACUUUAUCAAUUUAGUGUAUAUCAACAAUUUUAACUCCAGUAGUCCACAGUAUCAAUUUAGUGUAUACCAAUAAUGUUUUCAGCUUUAGUGGCAGCCAUGGCUGCACAAACUAUCAUCUCUACUGCUGCAACUCAUCCUUUCAUUUUCCCAAUUGCUGCCCCAAACACCACACCUUCCGCUUCACUCCAUUCUUUACUUGAUGUCAAUGUCAAUGUCAAGUCUACUACUGGCCAAUCACUGAGCCUCGCUGCAGUAACUGCCCCUAAACUAAUUGCUUCAACCAAGAAGGCUGUUGCUGUUCUUAAGGGCAACUCUAAUGUCCAAGGCGUUGUCACAUUUACCCAAGAGAAUGAUGGUCCAACCACGGUGAAAGUUCGUUUAACAGGACUUACUCCCGGACUUCAUGGGUUCCAUCUACACGAAUACGGUGAUGUUACAAAUGGUUGUAUGUCUACAGGAGCCCAUUUCAAUCCUACCAGCAAAACACAUGGAUCUCCUGGAGAUGAAACCCGUCAUGCGGGUGACCUGGGAAACAUAGAGGCUAAUGCUGAUGGCAUAGCUGAAGCAACAAUUGUAGACAACCAGAUACCAUUGACUGGUCCAAAUUCAGUUGUUGGAAGAGCGCUCGUGGUUCAUGAGCUUGAGGAUGACCUUGGAAAGGUCUAACUGUAGGUGGCCAAGAACUCAGUCUUACUACUGGCAACGCCGGGGGACGAUUGGCAUGUGGUGUGGUUGGUUUGACUCCAAUUAUGAAGUAAAGGUAGCAGCUCUUUGUUUGGAAUCACAGAGUGCUAACGUUGUAUCCUCACAUGGCUAAUACUAUACCUGAAUGUAUAUGUAUUGCAAGACAUUGUCAAUGAAAUAAAUUUGAGGUUGCAUGUACACUUCCUAAAUGUGGUGCCAUUCUUGGAUGCAUUGUAACUGGAGAAUCUAUUUUCAACCUUUGGAGUUUUAGCUGUAAGAAAUUGUAUUCCCUAGUUGUAGACUUGUAUCAGAAGCCUGGGUUUUGCUCAUAAUUGCAUCGUUGUGUUU